rnacentral:rRNA from 1 species
AUUGAACGCUGGCGGCAGGCCUAACACAUGCAAGUAGAGCGGAACGGCGGACGGGUGAGUAAUGCCUAGGAAUCUGCCUGUUAGUAGGGGAUAACGUCCGGAAACGGGCGCUAAUACGUCAUACUAUCAGAUGAGCCUAGGUCGGAUUAGCUAGUUGGUGGGGUAAAGACCUACCAAGGCUACGAUCCGUAACUGGUCUGGGAGGAUGAUCAGUCACAUUGGAAUUGAGACACGGUCCAGACUCCUACGUGAGGCAGCAGUGGGGAAUAUUGGACAAUGGGCGAAAGCCUGUUCCAGCCAUGCCGCGUGUGUGAAGAAGGUCUUCGGAUUGUAAAGCACUUUAAGUUGGGAGGCGUUACCAACAGAAUAAGCACCGGAUAACUUCGUGCCAGCCGCCGCGGUAAUUC